CGGAGAGUGGCAGAGUGGUUGAAUGCACCGCACUCGAAUGCGGCAUGCCUGCAAGGGCAUCGGGUUUCGAAUCCCCCUCUCCGC
rnacentral:tRNA from 1 species